AGUGAACGCUGGCGGUAGGCCUAACACAUGCAAGUCGAACGGCAGCACAGUAAGAGCUUGCUCUUACGGGUGGCGAGUGGCGGACGGGUGAGGAAUACAUCGGAAUCUACUUUUUCGUGGGGGAUAACGUAGGGAAACUUACGCUAAUACCGCAUCCGACCUACGGGUGAAAGCAGGGGAUCUUCGGACCUUGCGCGAUUGAAUGAGCCGAUGUCGGAUUAGCUAGUUGGCGGGGUAAAGGCCCACCAAGGCGACGAUCCGUAGCUGGGCUGAGAGGAUGAUCAGCGACACUGGAACUGAGACACGGUCCAGACUCCUACAGGAGGCAGCAGUGGGGAAUAUUGGACAAUGGGCGCAAGCCUGAUCCAGCCAUACCGCGUGGGUGAAGAAGGCCUGCGGGUUGUAAAGCCCUUUUGUUGGGAAAGAAAAGCAGCAGGUUAAUACCCCGCUGUUCGGACGGUACCCAAAGAAUAAGCACCGGCUAACUUCGU
rnacentral:rRNA from 1 species